rnacentral:lncRNA from 1 species
GCUGUACAACCAUGCUGGAAACUCAGUGUUGCAUCAAUGUAUGGCAGAGUUUUAAUGUGAAUUCCUCACAGAUUGAGAGCAGGCCAGCUACAGCAAGCGGGGGCAAGAUCCAGGCUGGAGCUUUGGUAAGGAGCAGCCUCUGGGCUGAAUGCAAAUGCGUAGAAAAUCCCAGAAAAAGCCUGAAAUAAUACAAAAGUGCAGUAAGCAAAUAAAAAGCAAGCUGGGGUAUCCCCACUGCAUUCUGCACUGGAGGUGGACUGUGGAUACUUGGAGCUGUACUGGAAAAACUGUCUUCCUCCCAUGGAGACUUACCUGAAGGCUCAAAGCGGGAGCUGGGGGCACUUGGACUGCAUUCUCCAUGCUGUCUCUUCAAGAGUCAGGGGUCUUUGGAUUCAUUUGCAUGAAGAACAGUGUCUGCUGAACUAGGAAAAUUAUAUUAUGGGCAUUUCCCACAACUUCUAAAACCCAUGUCUCAAAUGCGUAAGCUAAUCUCCUGUAUAUUUAAAGUGCUCAGCAAUGAUUUAAGAGGGCAGCAAUUACUUAACACAUCUCUAAAGGCUAAAUGGAGUAAUGUGCUGGUGUUUUAAGUCUGAUCCAGAGCUCAUCAUCUCAUGUAAAGAGAAGGAAACCUAGUUCUGAAGGUUGCCAGCUGCAGAAGGAGCCUCAGGACCAGUUAAAGCUGCAGGCUGUAACCUAUAUUCAUCCAGCCACUGGCUGUUUGUGCGAGGACGUGAUGCUGACACAGGAGGAUGGCUGGAUUGCUGAACCAGCUAGCUCUGAGCAGUAAGCCGGUGGUGGAACUAAUCUUCCCAAAGACAUCCUUCUCAGAACAGGGGAAAGCUGCAGGGAGCACAGGCUCAUUUUCCAUUCUGUCUGGUACUGGACCCACUGGAACUGAUUCAAUCCCAAAUGCUUCGGCACAAGUCAGCGUGCUCUUGGCAGCAAAACAAAUGUGUUUGCUCUCUAUGCUACGUGCUUUCUUCCCUAGGAAGGAGGUAUGGUUGAGAAAACCCAGGGAUUUAUGGACAUUUUUUAUCAUUUUGCUGAAAAUGCCAAACCUUAUUUUUUGGGGCUGCAGAUUGAUGGAUUGGGUAGGUAAAAGCAAAAAAAAAAAAAAAAAAAAUAGAAAUGUAUGGAGUUUUUAUGGCAAGAAAUGGUUAAACAAAACUCUGCCUUUAGGAUUAGAAAGGCCUUGGGAGUGUCUUGUCUGUGCAGGUGUGACCACUUCUGUUCUGCAUGGACUUUGCUGCCAUUUGCUGGCAAAACAAGAGCUGUUCCCACACUUUCCUGCUCUGAGAAUCAAAAACUGCAUUGUGAUGACGUUGCCUCCUCCUUUAACAGCAGAUUUUCCCACUCGUUGCUUCAGCGUGGUCCCUACCCUUCUAUUCCGUGUAAGAAGAGGAAAAACAAACACUUUGUAUUUGUUUGUGAUGUCUCUUUGA